ACUUCUUGUAAUCUAUCACGACUCCUUCUAUAUAUAGUUACCCUAAACCCUUUCUAGCUAUGGAUUCAUCAAGGAAACCUCCAAAGCUAUUGGUCUUUGAAGAUCAAACCUUGAGAGGCAUGGGUCUUAGGUGAAACCCUUCAUAUUUAGGUUUCUAGGAAAAUAACCCUUGAUAGCUUUUGAUUCGUUGAAGAGAAUUAUCUCUUCCUUGUUUCCAUAUUUUUGACCUUAAACUUUUCCCUUUCCAUGGUCUUUGUUCAUCUGAUCAUAUUUCGUUCCUAUCUUUUCCAGUUGUCCUGUUCUUGUAAUUAAACUCAUUAUCAUCUCUAACCUCUGGUAUAUAGAAGAGAAGAGCCAAACUUUUACACUUUUCACUAGGGUUUUCCUCGUCCUUCCUUUUUCUUGAUGGAGAAAUGAUAUUAGAUCUUAAGUGAAGCGCAACAGUCGGUUCUUGCUGCUGGAGCAUCUUCAAGAUUCACAAAAGCUCCAUUUCUAGGGUUUCAUAAAGUUUUUCUUUUUUCUUAAAAAGAAAAAAAAAAGUGAUGUAUGGGUCCUCUUGAUGGUUUGAGAAUCUUGAUGAUGCUGCAGCUGCAAUUACUGGCUAAAUUUCUUGAUUAAUCUUUUUCUAUCGUGUAAUAAUAUUCUACCAACUGGAUUGUGGUAAGUGAUUAUUUUAUAUUCUUUGUUGUUUUUUGAGCCAGGUCUUGUUUAUGGUAUUAGGGUUUUGCUAAUAAUAAGGAGGUGUGCGUUUGAAAUGUCAGUUUUGUCCUUGUUUUCUUUUAUUAAAUUUAUUAUCAAAUGUUUAUUUGAACUCUCUCUCUCCUUCUGUGUGUGUGAGAGGAAAUCUUUCAGGUGUUGCAGCAGUUCAAGAAAAUAUACAUAUCACCAUGUGAUUCGAUAAGCAUGUCUGUAUUCUGUACUUGAGUGGAUGACCAAUUUGUACUGUACAACUUGAAAUCAUGGGAUUCUUGUUUCUACAUGAUGGUCCACUUUAUGUUCUUGGAUUUGCUAGGUGAACUGUGAAGAGAUCCAUUAGGUCUAAUCGAUUUAAUAAUGGGUUUUUUUGUCA